AUAUUUUCCUAUACCGUAGAAUAUAUUAAAAGUGCCACCAUUACUAGGUAUAUCAGAAUAUAAGUGAAUAAUAGAUCUACAAUCGGAAAAAAGUACACAAGACAAUUAUACACAUAAGAAGGACUUACAGUUGACACACUGCCUACACAAACUGUGCGGAUCUAAUCAUCGCAUAAUAUGUUAACCCCACAGCUAGACAUUAUAUAUAUAUACUUGCAAAUGUCACAAACCUCAAAUAGCAAGGAUGACAAUAAAUAAUUCAGAAUAAAUUAAAAGUAACUGACAAUACAACAAGAAAGACGGUAUAUCAUUGGACCAGUAAAUCUUUAAUUAUUGGAUAGAAAAGAAUACAGUUCUAAGUAGUAGUGUAAAGUGAUACUACUAACUGCAAAGGAGACAACCGUAGACAACACACUUUAAUGAAAUUUGAAAUAAGUGACAGAGAAUAUACUUUUUAUGAAUACAGUGACAACAACAGGACUUUUUUUUAUAAUAAAUUUGAAGAAACUG